AAAGUUCCAUAGAAAUAUUGUAAAAAUAUGUUUAAUUCUAUAUAAAUUUCUAAAAUAAAAUAUCAAUACAAUUAAACUGAAAUAAAACUCUCUGUAACUUUGACACAUCAGCCUUUUUGUGUGAUGAGAAGGUGGCACAUCAUUAAAACAAGAAACCAAUCAAAACAUCACAAAUACUACACAUCACAUUAAUAUCUGCCACAUCAGAUUAAAUGGAUGAUUUCAGCUUGUUAGAAAUGAAAAAUUAAAAAGCUUGAAAAACCUGUAAAUUUCUCUUUGAUCUUUACGUCUUUACUUUCUCAGUCUCGUGUAUCUAUUUUGAAUAUUUGUAAUACUCGUAUCUGUUUUUAAAUUUAAUUUUAG
rnacentral:sRNA from 1 species